UACGUAGGCAGCGAGCGUUGUUCGGAGUUACUGGGCGUAAAGGGUGUGUAGGCGGUUCUCUAAGUUUGGUGUGAAAUCUCCCGGCUCAACCGGGAGGGUGCGCCGAAAACUGGGGGACUAGAGUGCGGGAUGGGAGAGUAGAAUUCCUGGUGUAGCGGUGAAAUGCGUAGAUAUCAGGAGGAAUACCGGUGGUGUAGACGGCUCCCUGGACCGCAACUGACGCUGAGACACGAAAGCGUGGGUAGCAAACAGG
rnacentral:rRNA from 1 species